rnacentral:rRNA from 1 species
UAGAGUUUGAUCAUGGCUCAGGACGAACGCUGGCGGCGUGCCUAAUACAUGCAAGUAGAACGCUGAAGAGGGGAGCUUGCUCUUCUUGGAUGAGUUGCGAACGGGUGAGUAACGCGUAGGUAACCUGCCUUGUAGCGGGGGAUAACUAUUGGAAACGAUAGCUAAUACCGCAUAACAAUGGAUGACACAUGUCAUUUAUUUGAAAGGGGCAAUUGCUCCACUACAAGAUGGACCUGCGUUGUAUUAGCUAGUAGGUGAGGUAAUGGCUCACCUAGGCGACGAUACAUAGCCGACCUGAGAGGGUGAUCGGCCACACUGGGACUGAGACACGGCCCAGACUCCUACGGGAGGCAGCAGUAGGGAAUCUUCGGCAAUGGGGGCAACCCUGACCGAGCAACGCCGCGUGAGUGAAGAAGGUUUUCGGAUCGUAAAGCUCUGUUGUAAGUCAAGAACGGGUGUGAGAGUGGAAAGUUCACACUGUGACGGUAGCUUACCAGAAAGGGACGGCUAACUACGUGCCAGCAGCCGCGGUAAUACGUAGGUCCCGAGCGUUGUCCGGAUUUAUUGGGCGUAAAGCGAGCGCAGGCGGUUUGAUAAGUCUGAAGUUAAAGGCUGUGGCUCAACCAUAGUUCGCUUUGGAAACUGUCAAACUUGAGUGCAGAAGGGGAGAGUGGAAUUCCAUGUGUAGCGGUGAAAUGCGUAGAUAUAUGGAGGAACACCGGUGGCGAAAGCGGCUCUCUGGUCUGUAACUGACGCUGAGGCUCGAAAGCGUGGGGAGCGAACAGGAUUAGAUACCCUGGUAGUCCACGCCGUAAACGAUGAGUGCUAGGUGUUGGAUCCUUUCCCGGGAUUCAGUGCCGCAGCUAACGCAUUAAGCACUCCGCCUGGGGAGUACGACCGCAAGGUUGAAACUCAAAGGAAUUGACGGGGGCCCGCACAGCGGUGGAG